rnacentral:lncRNA from 1 species
CUUUGUUUCAUUGACCGAAUCCAUAGUGAGUGUAUGAAUAAUUUUAUUCAACUAAUAGUACAAAAAAUAUCAUUAAAAUAUUUUCCAAGUAAUAUAUAAUUCAAGUCUUAUGAGAUUGAUGAUGGAACAAAUAUAUAAUUUUUCUACCAAUAUUUACGAUAUGAAUACACCGUUAUUGAAUGCUUUCAGAGUACCCUGUAUAUUUAUAAUUGUUAUUUCUAUCUAAUCACGUAGGCUUAUAUAUGUUAAAUAGUUGAAAGAUAAGAGGUGAUCCAUAAUAUGUUUGUAGUUGUUAUUUAUUUGUUGUGAGUACCAUGUAGGAAUAUCACAUGACACUUUAGGAGUACCUAAUAAUUUCUCCAUUUUCAUGAUCUAAUAUGUAAAUCAACAAAAGUCCUAAGAAACGACUUAAUCCACGAGUCAUGAGUCAUAUUCACAACUACUAGCUUUUAAAGUCGUCAAUCAUACGCCUAGCCUCACUAGACCUUGUGGGUCGUUUUGUUCACUUUACAUUAAGUGUAAAUUAUUACUUUGCACCAUAUAUUUUUAUGAAAAAAAAAAAACACUUUGGGCCUUACUGAGUAGUGUAAUGACGGAAAGCCCCCCCCAAGGGGUUGGGAGUGGUGAGAGACACUGUGGUUGUGGUGGGGGGGCUAUGCAAUGGAAGGUGGGCUAUGGUGUUUCGGGGCUUAGGUAGGCCCACUAUGGUUUGUAUUGGAGGAAGAAGAUGAAAUUUUGGAGGUGGAAACGCGGACAUAAGGGUAGAAAAUAAUAGAACCCAAUUGCUUUUUUUAAAAUGCUAUUUGGGGAAGGUUGUAGAUAGAAAAUAAGUGGGUUGUAAAAUAGAAGUGACAAAUGGUGGAUCUCAGUUGGUGAUCUAAGUUUGACAUAGCUAACAAGGUAGUGCUUAUUGUUGCGUUCUUCGUCAUGAAUCGGACAAUCGCUUCAUUAGUGGGGUUGAUUGCAAACGAUGUAAACAAGUCACUUCUGCAAUUUGAAGGAAAAAAUUCUGAAAUUUGACGCGGGGCCAUAGUGGGAGUAUUAGGCCCAUAUUUUUAAGGAACAAAGUGUAAGUACCUUAUAAAACACAUAUCAUUAUUCAAAGCUUUAGCUGCUCCAACAACCCUCAAGCAUCUAUACACGUUUAUGUGGCCUGGUUCUAUUGGAGCAUUGUUGCUUUUACGGGUUGAACUAAAACGCCUUGGUUUGUCUCUGAUGAUUGGUUUAGUGGAAACAAAACCGAUUCAUAAAUGUUUACUCCAACCUAAUUCAAGUAGUCACAAAUUUUGCAGAUAGGAUAUCAUGACUCACAUCUGUUAAAUAGUUUUGUAUUUGUUAUUAAUUUGCUGUGAAUACCAUAUAGAAAAUACUACAUUGCGCUUUGAGCAUACCUAAUAAUUUCUCCAUUUUCAUGGUCUAAUCUGUAAAUUAAACACGGCUUAAGAGACGACUUGAUCAAGGAGUCGCGAGGAAAUGUCUCAUGUUCACAACUACUAGCUUUCAACGGAACGUUUAUCAUACACCUAGACUCAAAAUUGUCGGUCUUGCAUUGUUCAUUUUCCAGUGAGAGUAAAUUACACUUUGCACCAUCAAAUUUUUAAGAAAAAUUCAGUUUGGGCCUUUCAUGUCAAUCACUCCCAUUUAGGCUUAAUUUUUAAUGUGACCCUGCUGUUCAUCCGUUAUAUAAUAGAGUGACCUAAAGAGGGCUCGUGAUCUCUUUGAAAUAGAGAUGACAAUAAACGUUGCGCCGCUGCCUGGGGCAAACACCGCAUACUGUCGCGGGGAACGCGUGGCAGACCGCUGGGGUGAUAAAAAUAAAAAGCAUUUUGGUGGAUGGCUUUGCAGCCUUUCCCGCGUGCACACCCUACACCAAUUCCACCAUGCUAAAGUAAUAUAUAUUUAUAUAUUAUAUUAAAUAUUAUUUAAUGAAAAUGAUUAUAUAUUAUACUACUACUAAAUCUCAUAAAAUAUAGAAAGGAUAUAUUACAACUAUGGUCUUUUUCCUAAGUGAACAGUAAUCAUUUUCUUAUUGUUUAGUCUGUCUUUAGGUUUUUGCGUUUUGAAAGUAAAUGUUUGUGUUGACGAGGAAAAAAAAAACUGGAGCAAAGAACGAGGGUGAGAAAAUGCGAUCCCCGUAGAGGAUGGAAGUGUGGUCAAUUUAUCAUAGUCUGGAUCGGGGAGGAGAGAUACUGAUUAUUCAUAGUGGGGGAUAGGAUGGAAUUUAAGACAGAGGCCCAUGCCAUCAACUACCUAGAAAGGAUGGCUACCAUGGCCCUUAUUAGAUUGAAUGAAAAGCUAGACGGAAUAGCAAACAUGAUUACUUGGACCAAAAGUUGUGAGCCAUUAAGGAUAUAAGAAAGUAAAGUGAUAUAAUAGUACAGUUUAUGUAAAAUGAAGGGUUCUGAGUGUAAUUUACCUUAAUUUAGAAGAAAAAAAAGACAGUAAAAUACCACUUUGCUAAGCGAAAUAAACUUUUUCAGAAUUGUUGUUUCUUCUCCUCUAUUGAGCUUCGCUAAGUAAAAGGAAAGUGGUGGUAAGGGCCAAGUAGAGAAUUUUGUUGGGCUUAUUUUUCUUUGAUUCCACUCUCCUAAUUGAUAAUUCUUUCAAUUGAUAAUGCCCAAUCUCCUGAGUAUUAUCCCGUCGCCAAUCUUUCCACUUCAUGGACCAACAACGACUCGUUGGCACAUCCUAUGAUCCUAUCCGUAUCAUAACCUGCAACGCAUUCAUGUUAGAAGUAAGUUUUGUAUGUGGCUGUUGGGGUGACAGAGUAGAGGUGCCUGUCUUUUUGCCAUCCUCAUCUCCGCAGAUACUAAAUAGCAGAACCUCGAAUCGUUGGUCUGCAACCGGGACAGGCCAGUCCAGUGGACAAAAGCAACCCUUAACGAUUCACACAAAAUGGAGGAUUGAUUGGGCAAAUGGCCGAUGGCAGGAUUUGUCUGGUCUACAAACCACAUAGAGGGACAGCUGUUCUGGAUAUUAAAAUUUCACUGAAGAGGGAAAUAGUGCUUAUGCAAAAACAAUGAAUUUGUUUGGCAGUCUUUUGAUCACACACAGACUCCUUACUUCUUGCGGCAGAAAUAGGUCUUGGGAAGCAAGUUACGCCAGGCAUCCGAAUCAAACUGGAGUGAGGUUCGUUUUCGCUUGCCGUUCAGUAUGAGCUGCUGUUGUGGUCGCGGACAUUGAAUCCGACCCACCCCAGUUACUAGUUUAAACAAUAUUUAGAAAAACUAUCUAAGCGACGACGACCCAUAUAUCCAAUUUGAAAAUGGACGCCUUCAAGCGCUUCUCAAUUCCCCCCUGCAUCAGCAGCCAGUGCAGUUCAUGAAGUGGAAUCUGGACGGUCAUUUGAAGGUUUAUGAGUGGAAGAAUCUGAUUAUAAAUGGAUGGUGGUGGCGGAUAUGCUCACUCCUAUAUUGGUGACUGUGGGUAUCCAUUGGCAUGUGGGAAAAUACGGAUUUGUUAUUUCAGAAGGGCAGAGCUUUGUCCCAAGGAAGCCAACAGAACUGCCACAAGCUUUUUUAGGCAAAACAAACGAAGGAAAACCCAAACCCAGGAUUGCCCCCCCCGUUAUUGCCAUCUUUGAUGAUCUUGUCCCAAUAUAUAUAUGAUGGAGCUUAUAAACAUCCUACUUCAAAACUAUGGUCAAUAACCUACGAUGAAAUUCACUUAGGACUAACCGAUUUGGAGGAUGUUUUUUAAAUAGGAAAAAAAAAAAAAAGGGGGGGGGGGGGGGGGGCCACCAUGUUGAAAACAAUUGUUCGUCGCAGAGCCGGACAAUUAUGCAUUCAUGGAAUAUCUUAAGGAUGGGUUGCUUAUAGUAUCAGAAGUCUUUUUCUGUAAACACCGAGGGAGACGUAAUGCAUGUUCAGUGUGUCCUAAAGUGCAAAAAUCCUGCAGGGGGGGUUUGGGGCAGCAAAACUAGCAUCUCUCAAAAAAAGUCAAGGCGAGUCACAACAAUCAUAUGGGAUCCAGUUUUGGAGAUUUCUUUGGGGCUUUUAAAUGGCCGCUUGGGAUUUUCCUUUAUGGAAGGGAAAGGAGGACAAGGAACUUGGUGAGAUUUAAUAUCACCAAGUACAGAAUGGCUGCCAGAUUCUCUUAUGAAGCCUAACAACCUAAGACUAAUGAUUUUAGUACGAAGCUCGGGGAAGGAGGAUUUGGUUCAGUCUUCAAAGGUACGUUGCACAAUUGGCCCCAAAUAGCGGUGAAAGUGGUCUGCACGGUUUAGGUCAAGUUGAGAAGGUUCUUAUCUGAAGUGGAUGGACAAUAGGCGGCAUUCAUCAUGUAAAUUUGGGUAAGGCUGUGGUUCUGCGCGGAGAGAAACUUAGCUUCUCGUGUCUGAGUAUAUGGUCAACGGAUCUUGGACCAAUGGAUAUUUGACAGGCAACAAACGGGUCACUGUCUUGGGUGGCAAUCGAGAAGGGAGAUCAUCUUAGGACAUAAGCCAAGGGAUGAGCCUAUCUACACGAGGAUAAUUGCAGUCAUAAAAAUUUUAUGGAUAUCAAACCACAAAACCAUCCUCUUGGAUGAUACAUGAUGCAAGAAUAUUGCUUGUGGGGUUGUCAAAGUUAAUUGACAGGAUCAAAGCCAAGUGAUAAUGCAUUUGCGGGGACGCCGGGAUAUUUGGCCCAGAUGUUAACCCUGAACAUCGACUGAAAAAGUAGAUUUACAGCUUUGGUGUCGUCGGUAUUGGAAAUCUGUGGGUAGAAAUAACUUGGAUCGGUCUCAAAACCAUGGGCGGAGAGGCAUUAUUGAGUCUUUUGAAGCGAAAAGCGAAGAGGGGCCAACUGAACUUGAGAUUCAUCGAUGUGAAGACAAUGAUGAAAUGCGGCUACAAGAAGCAGAAGUCAUAAAGAUGAUGAGGGUUGCUAUGUGGUGUUUACAAAGUGAUUUUCCUAGGAGGCCUUCCAUGUCUGUGGUGGUUAAGGUCUUGGAAGGCUUGGUGGAUGUUGAAACCGACUUAGAUUAUAGCUUCACAACACCAAGAAGAAUUGCAGAUGCUGCUCACAAAAAGGAUGGUGCCUUAGGUGUUGCUAACUCAAUUGGCUUCCCUCAGCUUACGGGGACCCCAGGUAAAGGGAAGUUCAAAACUUUCAUAACAAAAUAAUAUAAAUAGAUUUGCUUUAGAGUUUGCGGUCAAAUCAUUUGUCUUUUUUUAGUUUAGAAGGUGUGAGAAUUGUGUGGGUUGUUAUGUUGCUUGGAAUUGAGUAUGGGUAAGCGGUGAUUGGUGAUAGUCUAUGCCAUGUCACAUUGUAUGCAAAAUGAAACCUAUGAAGAAAUAUGAGUACUUUUUAAUAUAAUCGUAUGACAUCGGACUCUUAAAUGAAUCCGAUACUUAGACAUGUACUCGUAUCUGUCACCCAUAUCCAAGUCUGUGUAACAUAGGUUAGUAUUUGGCUGCAACCUUCAAAAGGAAUUCAAACAGGUUGUGACACUGCAAUCACAAAAAUAAUCAGUAGCCUUCUAGUUUUGUUAAAUUGACCGUCUUCUUGUAAAAGACAUGUCAUAAGAGCUUCAAUAAUGGCGAAAAAAGGAAUACAACAUAGGCCUUCUAUUGUUGCCAUUCUCAACAGAGAAAUGCUAGGACCUUCACAUGUGCUGCACAAUUCAUAGCCCCACCAAAUUAAGAACAUAUAAAAAUAAAACUAAAAUAUCACAAUGGUCCUUUAUCCUUCUCAUAAUAUACAGUUAGUGGAGGUUAAGCAUAAAAUCAAGAUUAAAAAAAACAAGUUCAAUACUUCUCAACUUAAGAAAUCAUCAGAAUCUUAAAGAGUAAAAAGAGAUGUUUAAAAACGAAACCACAUCUCCACCCUUCGUGUUCGUCAAGAACUCGCCACUCUGCCUAAAACCAAGUACCCGGGCCUACCCUUCAUGCAAAUCAACGUUGUAUUAAUUAUGGUUUAUAAUUUGUAUCUCUUGAUACAUGAAUGAAGGUUUGAUACUUGAAUGAAGGUUUGAUUUUACAGCCCAAUACAAAGAACCCACCACCAGAAUAUGCAAUCAAAUUGUGGUAGAACUUGACAUCCGAUGGUUACUUGUGCUAAUUGUAACAAUGAUUGAUCAAAAAUACACUAUCUCUAUGAUUUGGUCACCAUAAUGGAAAAAAAAAGGAAGAAAAAUGAUAGAAAGUAAUGAAAAAUCUCAAUUUUCGGUAUUUUUCAUUGCUAAGUUAGCAGAAAAUUUGUGGAAUCCUCAGCUUUUUUAUGAAGAUUAAUUUUUUUCUCAAAACUUAUCAUGCAAAAAACAUAAGAUUUUUAAAGAAUUUUAGGUUUCAGUUAAUUUUAUUUAAAAAUUAAAUUAUAUUUUAGUUUUUGUGUAGAAUUUUUUUGUCAAAUGAACGCACCUAAGGAAUUAACUUUAUUUUAAUUUUUUAUUUUACUUUAAUUUAAUUUUCAUGUACAUAACUUAAUCAAUCCUUUAAAACUAAACAAAACUUUACCCUUUUUAUUCAAAAAAGUAAAGAAAAAAAAUGGAAAACCUAAAUUUCUUGCAUUUUCUAAUUGAUCAACUGACAGAAGACUUGUAGAAUCCUUCUCCUUAACCUUUCUAAUAAGAAUAGUUUUACCUCAAAACUUAUCUUGGAAAAACAAAAUAUUUUGCAAGAAUCUUACUUUCCCCUAUCAUAUUUUAGUUUUCCUACAAAAAAAUUUGGUCAAAUAACUACACCCAAAAAAAAUAUUAUUUUUUUCUUACUUCAUUUUAAUUCAGGUUUCCUGUAAAUAAUUUUUCCGCAACAAAUUGUUGACAACUUGAAUUUCUGUACUAUGAAAAGGGUAGAAAUGACCUUUUUUGUCUUUUAAUUUAAAAUUUUUAUUUAUUAUUGAAUACGGAGGUGGGGUUUCUAUGACACGCGCCGUGUGGCUUCCUUCCACGUCUCAGACCAAUCCCCUUCAAUUUCUGCUAAGCAGUUAAGAGAUUUGGAUGAGGGACUCCAAACCGCACUCAGGAAAUUAUAGAGUUGUAGUUGUUCAAAUUAGAUGUAUAGGGAUCAAACUGAAACUUUUGUCUAACUACAUAGAUCAACGGGAAGGUUUACCCAAACCAAUGACUACAAGGUAGUCAGAAUCGUUUACCUGGAUGAGUUUUUACUUCCUAAGGCACACACUAGUUACUGUGUUCCUCAAUACAAUGUAGGUUUUUGUGAAUGAGGCUUCACAAUGGAUGAUGAUUACCGUAAUGUGAUUGUGUCAUUUGGUAUGGGCAAUGAGGUGUUUUGCGAGAUGGAACUCCCGGAAACAUUGGCUACGGUUUUCCGUUGAACUUGGGACUUGACCUGGUUGGGAGUUUCAUCUCUAUGAUUUCUUUCGAUCAUAGUCGUGGUGAACAAUGUGGGUCUGUUUCUGUUUGGGUGAUGAAAGCAUAUGGUAUGGUAGAGUGUGGAAUAACCUAAGCCAAUACAAUGUUGCUUUGCAUGCAGGUUUAGCCCCAAUUUUUGGUAUUAGGGCAAGUGGAAAUUUGUUGAUUGUGAUUGGGGGUGGAGACUUGUUUUGUAUCACCCGAGUGUAAGUGUGUUGUGAACCUGAAAGGGAGUCGUUCGAAUUCUCGUUGUAUGCUGGAACGUACGUGGAAGCUUGUUUUGCUGGAGCGGAAUGAAUGGGAACUUGAAGGGAAAUGAAAAGUCCUAUGUGUUGCUUGAUUUACGGGGGAAAAGGGGGAAAGAUUGGAUGAUUUGGGCCGCAGUUGAGGAAGGCCUUGAGUUGGAAAUUCUCCCCUGCCACUUUGCUUUUUAACUAGGAAACCUGGGAGUUUCGACACUCAGUAUUAGUUUUUCAGUUGUUGACGUGAGUAUUGCGUGUCGCCGAACCAAGUUCCCAUUUCUUCUCGCCUGAAUGGAAAACACGACGGGAUUGUUACAUCUUUAGAGUCACCACAAGACUACAAUAACGAAUUACAACUUAAUUUUUUCCUCUUCCUGAGGGAAUUCCUAGAAAUAGUGUAUAUUGUUCUUUAGGUCAUGGUUCAAUGCUCGUUAGUUUCCGAUGUUCUGAAUUGCUUGGCAUUAUAGUAUGGUGCGUGAAAAUGUCCUGAAGGGACUAUUUAUAAAUAUUACGAUAGUCGGAGUUUUGAUGAUGCGGCUCACUUCAAAAGAAAAUCAGCGUUGUGGGGCAUUCAAAAGAUAUUCGCUACGUGGAUAGCAUUUGUUGGAUGUGAUACAAUUGGGGGAUUGCAUGGGCAAGUGAUUUCUUAUGGUCUAGUUGAUUUAGUGGGAAAUCAUGUUUUGACUAUGGAUAUAGAGGGGAAAGAAGUUGAUGAGGAAGAACUGGAAAUGAGGCUUUCUAUAUAAUUGGUAUUAAUUAAGAUCAAUUUAGUGUUUGGGGUUUAGACAUUAGAAAUUGAGCCCAAACUACAAAGAAUGGGGACCUUAAUCCCUAACCCAGAAAGAAUUAUGGUAUGGAUAACGAGGAAGAAGGGAGGCAAUCUAGAGUUUUGAUUCGUUCUGUGAUGGGGGAUGCAGAACAAUGUACAUAAUGUUCUCUCUGUCUAGUCUGAAUUGUAUUCUCUCUAACAAUGUAUUUGCUAACAACACCAGUCCGUAUUAGGAAUUGGCCCAAUAUUCAAUUAUUUUAAUGUUCCACUCAGGGGCGAAGCCAGGAGUUUUAAGCUUGGGGGGCUAAAGUUAAAAAAAACUUAAUACUAUUUCAGAGGAGCUAACCAGUGUUAAAAAUAAUUUUUUUUUAGUGUAGAAUUUAAAUUUUUUGAAAGUGAGGGGGGCUGCAGACCCCUCCUUGCCAUGCCUUGGUACGCCCUGAUUCCACUAGGUGUCGAGCUCGUGUUAUUGAGCUUGGCACUUAUCCAAUGAAUUACAAACAAUAAUGAACAAAUAUAUGGUGUUAUCACUAACCAAUUUGGGAGAAGAAAAUAUCGUUUUACUUCAUAAUGGUUUUUUCAGUUCAGUGCAAAUAAUCAAGUUCUCGCUACUAAGCCCAACACUAGUGAAGUGAAGUGAAACCUAUUUAUGAAAUAUUUAGUAAAACCUUUUGAUAGGAAAAUCACAAGAUUGGGCAAUAAAAAGUUGUACCAAACCAGCUUAUAAUUUAUUUUAAGCCUUUAAGUUAAUAAAAUAAAAUAAACAUAAUUUAAAUGGCCAAUUAUAAAUGAUACCAAACAAGCCAUUUGAAUUACAUAUUUUUUUUUCUUAUUUGAAAUUGUUAAAAUACGUAUACAAACAAAUGAAAUGACACUUUUUUCAUUUAAAAUACCUAAGCACAAAAGGACAUUUUGGAUAUUUAUAUCGCAAAAAGAACUAAACACUAUUACCAAAAAAUGUUAAAUUAGUUGUAAGUUCUUACCGGUAAUAAUAUUGGAAGUCAAUAUUUUAAAAAACGCGUAACUCAUAAGUGAUACAAAAUAUGGUACAUUCUUUAUUAACAACAUAGAGUGCAAAAUAUCAAUGAGAAAUUAGGAGCUGCAACUCGAGCAUGUUGGGGGUCCAACUGUGGGCCCCCGCAUUUGGUGUUCCAGAGGUUACCCAAGUCCGUUUAAGUCAGGUGUCAAGAUCUAGGUAUUUUUACCUAAGCUAGACCCAAGUUUCAUCUUGUAAACUAAAGUUAGGCUCAGGAUGUCAUGAAAAAUCAAAACAAAAUUUGUUGUACAAAUCAAUUUAACACGAUUCUUAUUUAUGAGUGAUAGUCCGUGUUUUAUUUUGAAAAAAAUAAUGGGAACAAAAAAUGAUAUGAACCUAGAAUUGCUCACGACUUAUAUUGAUAACUCAGAUUUCAUUAAACAGCGAUACAAACUAAUCAACAAAUAUUGCAAUUAUAUAUAAUUAUACAUAUCACAUAAUCAAACUUGGCCUUAGGUUAGUCAGGUUACCCAAACCCUUUGCCCAAGUCAACCCAAAAUUGGGGCUCUAAAAUUAUGCUUCAGUAUAUUUCCCAACCACUCAAAUUUGUCAGACACAUUUAUUGUUUCCAAUGAAAUUAGAGAUUCUUUGGCAAGUUUUUCUUUGUUUGUGUUGUUUUUUCUUUUCUUCAGAUUUGGAGGAUCUCUUUGUGGAAAUAGG